rnacentral:tRNA from 1 species
GGGGGCGUAGUAUAACCUGGCUAGAAUGGCUGGCUCCAGACCAGCAGAUCUGGGUUCGAAUCCCAGCGUCCCCACCA